UGGGGAAUAUUGCACAAUGGGCGAAAGCCUGAUGCAGCAACGCCGCGUGAAGGAAGAAGGCCUUCGGGUCGUAAACUUCUGUCCUUGGGGAAGAAGAACUGACGGUACCCAAGGAGGAAGCCCCGGCUAACUACGUGCCAGCAGCCGCGGUAAUACGUAGGGGGCAAGCGUUAUCCGGAAUUAUUGGGCGUAAAGAGUACGUAGGUGGCAACCUAAGCGCAGGGUUUAAGGCAAUGGCUUAACCAUUGUUCGCCCUGCGAACUGGGAUGCUUGAGUGCAGGAGAGGAAAGCGGAAUUCCUAGU
rnacentral:rRNA from 1 species